rnacentral:rRNA from 1 species
UGUAUAAAGUGGCGAACGGCUGAGUAACACGUGGGCAACCUGCCCUUUGCACUGGGAUAGCCUCGGGAAACCGAGGUUAAUACCGGAUACUCCGUAUUUGUCGCAUGGCGAAUAUGGGAAAGCUCCGGCGGCAAAGGAUGGGCCCGCGGCCUGUUAGCUAGUUGGUGGGGUAGUGGCCUACCAAGGCAAUGAUGGGUAGCCGGGUUGAGAGACCGACCGGCCAGAUUGGGACUGAGACACGGCCCAGACUCCUACGGGAGGCAGCAGUC